rnacentral:rRNA from 1 species
AAGAACUAACCASGAUUCCCCUAGUAACGGCGAGUGAAGAGGGAAAAGCCCAGCACCGAAGCCUGCGGCAGAUUUGCUGUUAGGCAAUGUGGUGUUUGGGUCGGCUCGUGGGAUUGCCACUCCACUCGAAGUCCAGCAUUGAGUAUGGUCACUGGAUUUGGCCCAGAGAGGGUGAAAGGCCCGUACGGGUGGAGGUUCAGACAUGUAAGGCAGUUCACCAGGUCGACCUUAGAGUCGGGUUGUUUGGGAAUGCAGCCCAAAGCGGGUGGUAAACUCCAUCCAAGGCUAAAUACAGACACGAGUCCGAUAGCGAACAAGUACCGUGAGGGAAAGUUGAAAAGUACUCUGAAGAGAGAGUAAACAGUACGUGAAACCGCAUGCAGGUAAACGGGUGGCGUCAAGCUGCAAGCCCAGAGGAUUCAGCCGGUUAGGAUGUUGUGUAUGCGCCUGGCGCAUCUAUCAGUCGGAGUAUGAUUGGAUAGUCCACCAGUAGACGGUGGGCCUGACCGCAAGGUUGGGAUAUGUGUACCGGGUGGGUGCCGGAGCAUGCUAUCCGUCUGAGGACUGUCUAAUCGGUGCACUUUCUCUGUGGUGAACACCACGACCGGUGGUAUUGCCAGUCUGCUGUGUCCAAGUCGUGUUUGGUAGGUCCUUGUGGCCAACUGGAUGCGAUCACAGGCAAAUUUAGUAAACGGCGUAGAGGUGUUUCGGCAUCUCUGCGUGUUAUCGGCUACUAGUUGUCAACGGGCCUGCUCGAUGUUUGUUGUAACUGGCAUCGAGUGGUCUGGUGGGGCAUGGUGGUAAGAAUAACUGUGCAAGGCACCGGAGUUAUCGGCCUCAAAUGCAUUCUACACCCACGUUACAAGUGGUGUUGAUGGUGGUGUUGUUGCUGUCUGCCCGGUGUUGAGUCUGAUUGUCGUGUCGCCUGCACAAAGUAGGCCCGGCAGUGGCUCGACUCGGGAUGGGCAGUGGAUAAUGCUACCGGUGUGGUAUGUGGUGGGCCUAAUAGUCAGUGGUGUAGUGGUAG